AAAGUCGUAACAAGGUUUCCGUAGGUGAACCUGCGGAAGGAUCAUUACCGAGUGCCGGGCGCAAGCCCGUACCCGCACCCAGUGUCGACGCUCUCCGUUGCUUCGGCGGGCCCGCUCCGGCGGCCCGCCGAGGGACCCCCCAAACGCAUGGCAAACCGGUCCGUCCGAGGAUACGCAAAUCAGUCAAAACUUUCAACAACGGAUCUCUUGGUUCGG
rnacentral:misc_RNA from 1 species